rnacentral:rRNA from 1 species
UACGAAGGGUGCAAGCGUUACUCGGAAUUACUGGGCGUAAAGCGUGCGUAGGUGGUUUGUUAAGCCUGAUGUGAAAUCCCCGGGCUCAACCUGGGAACUGCAUCCGAAACUGCCUUGCUAGAGUAUGGGAGAGGGAAGUGGAAUUUCCGGUGUAGCGGUGAAAUGCGUAGAUAUCGGAAGGAACAUCAGUGGCGAAGGCGACUUCCUGGACCAAUACUGACGCUCAGGUGCGAAAGCGUGGGGAGCAAACAGG